rnacentral:lncRNA from 1 species
GAAAGAAAAAUAACAAGUUAGUAAUAAAAAGAUAAAUAUAUUUAGGGUUAUAGAAUUUUAGAGCUGGGGAAGGCUUAAAGAGAUGUCUUCUUUUUCUUGGACUUGAGUUACUUGACUAUCCACAAAUGUACCAAAUCUGCUGGGUAUCUUCUGAUUAUCCCCUCUAUAUCCAGUGCCCACCCUUCUCUACCCAGCUCUGUGCCCUGGGAGGCUGACCUGUGGACUGAUCAAUGGGCUUCCUUGCACUGGGCUUUCUGUUGGAAUUGGCCAGUUGAAGGCACCAGCAGGAGAUCUGGCAAUCAGAUAACAGUGAAGUUGAGGAUCUGUAUAGAAAGAAGUACAUGGCUAUGUGUUUUCAACUCAGCUCAUCAUUUGAGGGUGAGUAGAAAAAAGGCUUGGCAUGGCUUUCAGAGGAAGUAAGGUGAAGAUUCUUGUCCCCCAACCUACUAAGUAAACCACUGGGCCUUUCAUGACUCAGAAACCACAGACCCCACAGCCAACGUGCAUCUAUUCAUUCUUGUCUACAAAUAUUGAUUGAGAGCCUAUUGUGUGACUAACACAGUACUUGGGUUGAGGUUGUAAUGGUAAAAUGAGAUUCAUUCUCUCCCCUCAAAAGUAGAUGGUCCCACUCUAGGGUGGUACCUUCUACAACACGGAGGGCAGUGUUAUCUAACAGCAAGGAAUGUUAGCUGAGUUUUGCCACUAACUAGCUGUGAGCCCUUGGACAAGUCACUUCCCUUCCCUGGGUUUCAAUUUUCUGAUCUAUGUUUUAAGGAAAUUACCCAUGUUAUAGGAUUUAAUGAAGUAAUGCAUAUCAAGUAUUUAGCCCC